rnacentral:rRNA from 1 species
GAGUUUGAUCAUGGUCAGGAUGAACGCUAGCGGCAGGCCUAACACAUGCAAGUCGAGGGGUAGGACACUUCGGUGUUUGAGACCGGCGCACGGGUGCGUAACGCGUAUGCAAUCUGCCUUGUACUAAGGGAUAGCCCAGAGAAAUUUGGAUUAAUACCUUAUAGUAUAUAGAUGUGGCAUCAUAUUUAUAUUAAAGAUUUAUCGGUACAAGAUGAGCAUGCGUCCCAUUAGCUAGUUGGUAUGGUAACGGCAUACCAAGGCAAUGAUGGGUAGGGGUCCUGAGAGGGAGAUCCCCCACACUGGUACUGAGACACGGACCAGACUCCUACGGGAGGCAGCAGUGAGGAAUAUUGGUCAAUGGGCGCAAGCCUGAACCAGCCAUGCCGCGUGCAGGAUGAAGCAUCUAUGGUGUGUAAAACUGCUUUUGUACGGGAAGAAACAGCUCUUCGUGAAGAGCCUU